rnacentral:rRNA from 1 species
GGCCUAACGGCUGAACCAGCUAUUUGGAGGAAUGAAUAGGUUUUUUAUAUUAAGUUGAUGUUUCAUGCAUUUUCUGUGAUUAUCGUAUGGAAAUAUAUACCCGUAUCAACUAUGUUGAAUAAAAUUCUAGAUAGAUAACUGAUUAUGACUAAUUUCUAUCUAUAUUUCUUGACCAAUUCUUGUGCCAGCAGUCGCGGCAACACAAGUAAGAUUAGUGUUAUUCAUCUUUAUUAGGUUUAAAGCGUACCUAGACGGCAUUUUUUACUUUAAAAGAGAAAAUUUUUGCUAGAGUUUUAUGUGAGAGGAAAAUAUUAGAGCUAAUGGUGUAAAGAUAAAAUUUAUUGAUACUAAUAGAAUGUAUAAUGGCGAAGGCAACCCUCUAUGUAUAAACUGACGUUAAAAGACGAAGGCUUGGGGAGCGAAUAGGAUUAGAUACCCUAGUAGUCCAGGCAGAAAAUUAUGAAUGUUAUAUGCUAGAAGAAAAUUUGGCGUAUAAAUGAAAGUGUAAGCAUUCCACCUUAAGAGUAAUGUGGCAACACAGGAACUGAAAUCAUUAGACCGUGUCUGAAACCAGUAGUGAAGUAUGUUAUUUAAUUCGAUGACCCUCGAUAAACCUUACCACAAUUUGAAUAAUAUUUAUUUUAAUAUUACAAGCGUUGCACGGCUGUCUAAAGCUAAUGUCGUGAGAUGAUGGUUAGAUCCAUUAAAUUGGCGUAAUCCUUUGCUUUAUUUAGUUAUUAUAAGCCCAUUUAACCGCUACGUUGGUUAUUUUAAUAGGGAAGAAGACAAGUCAUCAUGACCUUAAUAUUGUGGCUAGA